rnacentral:rRNA from 1 species
GACGAACGCUGGCGGCGUGCUUAACACAUGCAAGUCGAACGGAAAGGCCCUGCUUUUGUGGGGUGCUCGAGUGGCGAACGGGUGAGUAACACGUGAGUAACCUGCCCUUGACUUUGGGAUAACUUCAGGAAACUGGGGCUAAUACCGGAUAGGAGCUCCUGCUGCAUGGUGGGGGUUGGAAAGUUUCGGCGGUUGGGGAUGGACUCGCGGCUUAUCAGCUUGUUGGUGGGGUAGUGGCUUACCAAGGCUUUGACGGGUAGCCGGCCUGAGAGGGUGACCGGCCACAUGGGGACGAGAAUACGCCCAAGACUCCUACGGGAGGCAGCGGUGGGGAAUAUUGCAAAAGGGCCGGAAGCCUGAUGCAGAAACGCGGGGGGGGGGAUGCCGGCUUCGGGUGGUAAACCGCUUUCGCCUGUGACGAAGCGUGAGUGACGGUAAUGGGUAAAGAAGCACCGGCUAACUACGU